ACCGGCAGCUAGCUCUCUGCAACUCUCACAUGGUCGCUCACUGAAGCUGAGCAGGGCUGCGCCUGGUCAGUACCUGGAUGGGAGACCACAUGGGAGAGCUAGGUAGCUGCUGGAA
rfam:Danio rerio chromosome 11, GRCz11 reference primary assembly.